CUGGAAUGUGUUUUAAAGCCCAGCUAUCACUUCCACAUGUCCUGCCCCUUCCCACCCACGGAGGACCACCUGCCUGCUCCUCCACUGGAGAAACUACCAAGGACAGAAAUUCGCUGGAAAUAGAGUGUCUUCUUGUACUUUAUACUACCAGUGAACAGUGCAAUACGUCCCUUUAAAAUCACAUAAAUCAAAUACAGUGCAGUGAAAAUUGCUAGAACUUUCUAACCACCUGUGAGCAUUUUCUUUUGGUUAUUAUAAAUUCAGAAAAUUGAUUUUAAAAAAGAGGUCUGGAUGUGAGAACUUCAUAAGGAAGAGGAAGGGGGAAGUAACAUAGACAGAAAGUAAAGAAAGAGAAAGCUGGAGUGAUUAACAAGAAACAUUAAGAAGGAAAUAAAAAUUUCUAAA